GAGCCUGCAUAGCUGCCAUUCCUGCCCGGCUGGCGUACUCCUGUCUUUGGUGGGAGCCAGGGAGGCAGCUGCCUGCUUACCCAGCCAACACAUCCCUCAGCCAGGCCCAGCGGCACUGCUGGGCACCCCCCUCCUGGAGCUGGUCUGGGGACCGCCUUAGCCUGGAACUCCCUGCCCUGCCCGAGCCCUGCCAGGACAGCAGCCAGCCAGCCAGCCAGCCCACCAGGCGGUGGGCAGGCAGGGUGAUGGGCAGCCCCCCAGCCCCCAAGCCCUCUCGCUCCCAGCCAGGCC
ensembl:lncRNA